UUUUUAGUAUAAGUAUGGCCCAUUCAACAUUUGGGUCAUACUUACACUAAAA
rnacentral:pre_miRNA from 1 species